rnacentral:rRNA from 1 species
UACGGGGGGGGCAAGCGUUGUUCGGAAUUACUGGGCGUAAAGGACUCGUAGGCGGCCAACUAAGUCGGAUGUGAAAUCCCCAGGCUUAACCUGGGAACUGCAUCCGAUACUGGAUGGCUUGAAUCCGGGAGAGGGAUGCAGAAUUCCAGGUGUAGCGGUGAAAUGCGUAGAUAUCUGGAGGAAUACCGGUGGCGAAGGCGGCAUCCUGGACCGGCAUUGACGCUGAGUGAGCGAAAGCCAGGGGAGCAAACGGG